rnacentral:lncRNA from 1 species
GGGAGCCGCGCCGUGAGCCGGGCGGGAGCGAGUGGGAGCGGAGCGCACCGUACGGCCCGCUGCAGGUUUCCCCUCCAAUUGAAAACAUUGUCAUCGCUAAUCUGAACAGAUUCCUUGGGGAAAAGAUACCAGCCCAUCAGCUAGAAGAUCUGCAGUCGAUCAGGCAAUGAAAAGGAGUUCAGAGUCAAGGUGACCAGAAGCAAAGAUGUUGGAGUAAGCAUCUGGAAAAUCUGUAAUUGUUACACUGAGGUGUAGAGGAAAUGCUAAGUCACAGCCUGAAGCAGU